AACUCUGAUUUUCACACUUUGAAAGUUUGAAUCAGUGAAAAGUUGUUUGCUGACCUCUUCUUCUCGUGUCUGCUGUCUCUGAUCUCUGUCUGUUGGAUCUUCUCUGAUCUCCUCAGACUCUGUGAGGCUGCUGAAUGGGACCAGUCUGUGUUCAGGCAGACUGGAGGUCAACUACAACCAGUCUAACCAGUCCAAGCAGAGCUGGACCUCCAUGUGUGAAGAUCAUUUUGACCAGCAGGAUGCAGAGGUGGUCUGUAGGGAGCUUGGCUGCGGGCCUCCCUCAGCCCUCCAGGGGGCGCUCUAUGGAGAUGUGGGGGCUCCAGUGUGGAGCAAAGAGUUCCAGUGUGAAGGCCAUGAGUCUACUCUCCUGGACUGUAGGAGCUCAAACUCUACUAGAAGCAGCUGCUCACCAGGCAAAGCUGUUGGACUCACCUGCUCAGAGCCUAUCAGGUUAGUGGAUGGAGCCAGUCGCUGUGCAGGUACACUGGAAGUGAAAAUAGGAGAGUGGAGACCAGUGCAUACAUUCCGCAUGACCCUGAAGGAAGCAGCUUCUAUUUGCCAACAUCUGGACUGUGGCCCUCGUGUUUCUUUAAAACAGAAGCCCUCAGAAAGACCUCUGUGGGCUCCCAGACUUUACUGUGAAAUUACUUAUUUUUCUGCGAUGGGGUGUUUAAAACACACAAUCAUUAUCAGUUCAUCAUGGGCUUUUCCUCCAGUCCUGGUGCUCACCUGCUCAGGUAAGCCAAUCUGUGACUUCAUCAAUUGUAUAGCUAGAGGUGGGUGGAGCAGACAGACUUGAGUUCAGCAAAUGUGCUUUUUGAUAAAAGCUUCUGUUUUUGCAUCUUUGCUGGAUUUUAUUGUUACUCUUUAGUUUCUCCUUGUAUUAGUUUAUUUUUAUAUAUAUAUUUUUAUUAAAUUUUCUGCAUCCAUUUUUACAAAAGACAAGUUGAACAAUGUGCCGUUUUCCUUUUGAAGAACAUAAAACAAUAUGAAACAUACACUCCCACCUCAUAAUUAUAGGAGUACCAGUGGGUGUACAAAAAGAAAAAAGAAAGGGUCCAGUCUGAUAAUAGGAAUAGUAAACCCUGGAGUACAAGAUGACAGUUCCUGAGUGUACAGAGAGAUGUGGAGAGUUUCAGAGCCCACACCCCCACACAGACACAGAAAAAACAAAAACACAGUCAAAUCUGUAAGAGAAAACAAAUAUGUAUAAAGUAGGUAAGUAGAUACCAUCAUAAGGCGCAGGCACAAUAGAGUCCAUAUACUUAAACAUAAGAUGAAAUAAAAUAGAAUAAAAUCUGAGCUGGCUAAUUGGGAGCGUUGCGAGACCGCAAAGUCUGAACAUGGUCAAAAAAGGGUUGCCAGAUCUUAAAAAAUUUGGCCAUAGACCCAUGCAGGGUGAAUUUAAUCUUUUCGAGUUUGCUAAAAUGCAAAGUGUCUCUGAUCCAGAUUUCCCAGGAUGGGGGAGAAGGGGAUUUCCAACAUAACAAUAAUCUGCGUCUUGCCAAUAAGGUGAGAAACGCUACCAAAUCCGCUUGGGGCGUCGGCAAGACAACUGUAUCAGGAAGAACCCCAAACAAAGCAGUUAAGGGCACAGGUUGGAGGGUUAGCUGGAUGAUCUUUGAUAAAGUCAGAAAAAUAUUAAUCCAGUAUUGUUUGAGGGAUGAACAUGACCAAAACAUAUGUAUUAGAGAGGCAGGUCCUUGUAUUAUUUUCACAGAUCAAAUGAAUGCUGUUUUUCUUCUGAAGCUCUGUCUGUUGUCUGAAUGAGCUCCACCUGUCUUUAUCCUCUCCUGCCUUAGUGAUGGCCUUCCCUUCUCAAUGUUUUCUUCUCUGAUUAGCUCCUUGUGUACUUUAAAGGCCAGCCGUUUCAUUAGUUAGCUUUCAGUGUGUGUUCACCACCUGCUGCUCUCCUCUUAUCUCUGUUUUCCUCUUAGUGUGAGUUUCCUUUUCUGGAUUUCCAUCUUUUGUUCAGACUGAGUAACCUGCUGUAUUCUGCUGCUCCAAGUGUCAUUAAAACUCACUGAAUAUGUUA